rnacentral:rRNA from 1 species
UGGGGAAUAUUGGACAAUGGGCGAAAGCCUGAUCCAGCCAUGCCGCGUGUGUGAAGAAGGCCUUUUGGUUGUAAAGCACUUUAAGUGGGGAGGAAAAGCUUGUGGUUAAUACCCAUAAGCCCUGACGUUACCCACAGAAUAAGCACCGGCUAACUCUGUGCCAGCAGCCGCGGUAAUACAGAGGGUGCAAGCGUUAAUCGGAAUUACUGGGCGUAAAGCGUGCGUAGGUGGUUAUUUAAGUCAGAUGUGAAAGCCCCGGGCUUAACCUGGGAACUGCAUCUGAUACUGGAUAACUAGAGUAGGUGAGAGGGGAGUAGAAUUCCAGGUGUAGCGGUGAAAUGCGUAGAGAUCUGGAGGAAUACCGAUGGCGAAGGCAGCUCCCUGGCAUCAUACUGACACUGAGGUGCGAAAGCGUGGGUAGCAAACAGGAUUAGAUACCCUGGUAGUCCACGCCGUAAACGAUGUCUACCAGUCGUUGGGUCUUUUAAAGACUUAGUGACGCAGUUAACGCAAUAAGUAGACCGCCUGGGGAGUACGGCCGCAAGGUUA